CGAAAGUGCUGAUAAUACCUGAUAACAUCCAGGAGUCGCAUGGCUCUUGGAUCAAAGAUGGGGACCUUCGGGCCUGUCGGUGAAAGAUCAGCCCAUGUCCUAUCAGCUUGUUGGUGGGGUAAUGGCCUACCAAGGCGACGACGGGUAGCCGGCGUGAGAGCGUGAUCGGCCACAUCGGGACUGAGACACUGCCCGGACACCUACGGGUGGCUGCAGCAACGAAUAUUCCGCAAUGGACGAAAGUCUGACGGAGCGACGCCGCGUGGGGGAUGAAGUCCUUCGGGAUGUAAACUCCAAUAGUUUGUCAGGAAGUGAACGAGGCUAAUACCCUCGUGAGUUGACCAGCAUACGAAAGGGGCGGCUAAUUCCGUGCCAGCAGCCGCGGUAAUACGGAAGCCCCAAGCGUUGUUCGGAAUCACUGGGCUUAAAGAGCGUGUAGGCGGGAUGGUAAGUACUUUGUGAAAGCCCCGGCUUCAAUCCGGGAAUUGCUUGGUAUACUGCUAUCCUUGAGGCAGGUAGGGGUGACUGGAACCUUAGGUGGAGCGGUGAAAUGCGUAGAUAUCUAAGGGAACACCUGUGGCGAAAGCGGGUCACUAGGCCUGUCCUGACGCUGAGACGCGAAAGCGUAGGGAGCGAACGGGAUUAGAUACCCCGGUAGUCUACGCCGUAAACGAUGCGCACUAGGUUCGAGAACCUCUGACGGUUUUCGUGCCGAAACAAAAGCGAUAAGUGCGCCGCC
rnacentral:rRNA from 1 species